rnacentral:lncRNA from 1 species
CAUCUUCUUUGAACUUGUUUAUACUAAGUUAUCAACCAUAUCCUCACUUGCACUUAAUCUGACCUACCUCACUUUGAACUUAUAUAAUUCAAUGAAAAAAUCAAUAGAAUGAUUUGAAAUCUUUUUUAAUAUAUUUCAUAUCUCAUUCUAUUUUUAUAUUCAAAUUUUCAAAUUAAUUAAUCACUUAUAUCAAUUGUAGCAAGAAAAUCUCCAAAUCUAAUUUUUUGGUCACUACUUUUUUCUAUUAAUCCUACACUUGGUUAAUCUUUUGUGUAUAUUUCUUAAACCAAAUGUAAUAAUAUCUUGAAACUUUUUUAUUGGAUUUUUUUUACUAAAUAAGAAAAUUAAAUUUUAAUUUUUAUAAUCAUAGCUCUUAUAAAUACCAAGUUAUGAUCCCUUAAACUUGUUGCCCUUGACUUGGAUUCUUACUGGACCUUCUUUGCUUUAGCACUUUGUUUCUCCUUGACCUAAUUAAUUUUUGCUCUCAAAUUUACACACAAAUAGGUAAAUUUUUCCUAAAAACUAUCCUUAAGGCCUGCUC